GACGAACGCUGGCGGCGUGCUUAACACAUGCAAGUCGAACGGAAAGGCCCUGCUUUUGUGGGGUGCUCGAGUGGCGAACGGGUGAGUAACACGUGAGUAACCUGCCCUUGACUUUGGGAUAACUUCAGGAAACUGGGGCUAAUACCGGAUAGGAGCUCCUGCUGCAUGGUGGGGGUUGGAAAGUUUCGGCGGUUGGGGAUGGACUCGCGGCUUAUCAGCUUGUUGGUGGGGUAGUGGCUUACCAAGGCUUUGACGGGUAGCCGGCCUGAGAGGGUGACCGGCCACAUUGGGACUGAGAUACGGCCCAGACUCCUACGGGAGGCAGCAGUGGGGAAUAUUACACAAUGGGCGGAAGCCUGAUGCAGCAACGCCGCGUGCGGGAUGACGGCCUUCGGGUUGUAAACCGCUUUCGCCUGUGACGAAGCGUGAGUGACGGUAAUGGGUAAAGAAGCACCGGCCAACUACGUG
rnacentral:rRNA from 1 species